rnacentral:rRNA from 1 species
UAAUACAUGCAAGUCGAGCGGACAGAUGGGAGCUUGCUCCCUGAUGUUAGCGGCGGACGGGUGAGUAACACGUGGGUAACCUGCCUGUAAGACUGGGAUAACUCCGGGAAACCGGGGCUAAUACCGGAUGGUUGUUUGAACCGCAUGGUUCAGACAUAAAAGGUGGCUUCGGCUACCACUUACAGAUGGACCCGCGGCGCAUUAGCUAGUUGGUGAGGUAACGGCUCACCAAGGCGACGAUGCGUAGCCGACCUGAGAGGGUGAUCGGCCACACUGGGACUGAGACACGGCCCAGACUCCUACGGGAGGCAGCAGUAGGGAAUCUUCCGCAAUGGACGAAAGUCUGACGGAGCAACGCCGCGUGAGUGAUGAAGGUUUUCGGAUCGUAAAGCUCUGUUGUUAGGGAAGAACAAGUGCCGUUCAAAUAGGGCGGCACCUUGACGGUACCUAACCAGAAAGCCACGGCUAACUACGUGCCAGCAGCCGCGUUAAUA